rnacentral:rRNA from 1 species
GAUGAACGCUGGCGGCGUGCCUAAUACAUGCAAGUCGAGCGAACGGACGAGAAGCUUGCUUCUCUGAUGUUAGCGGCGGACGGGUGAGUAACACGUGGAUAACCUACCUAUAAGACUGGGAUAACUUCGGGAAACCGGAGCUAAUACCGGAUGAUAUUUUGAACCGCAUGGUUCAAAAGUGAAAGACGGUCUUGCUGUCACUUAUAGAUGGAUCCGCGCUGCAUUAGCUAGUUGGUAAGGUAACGGCUUACCAAGGCAACGAUGCAUAGCCGACCUGAGAGGGGGAUCGGCCACACUGGAACUGAGACACGGUCCAGACUCCUACGGGAGGCAGCAGUAGGGAAUCUUCCGCAAUGGGCGAAAGCCUGACGGAGCAACGCCGCGUGAGUGAUGAAGGUCUUCGGAUCGGAAAACUCUGUUAUUAGGGAAGAACAUAUGUGUAAGUAACUGUGCACAUCUUGACGGUACCUAAUCAGAAAGCCACGGCUAACUACG